rnacentral:rRNA from 1 species
AGAGUUUGAUCCUGGCUCAGGAUGAACGCUGGCGGCAUGCCUAAGACAUGCAAGUCGAACGAGAAGGCCCACUGACAUUUAUUGAAACUCUGCGAGCUUGCUCAAAGAGCGGAUUUAAAUCGACGUGGAUUUUCCUUCUAGUGGCAAACGGGUGAGUAACACGUGGGUUACCUGCCUCAAAGAUCGGGAUACCUAUUGGAAACGAUAGUUAAUACCGAAUGUGAUCUACGGAUUAAAGGGAGCCUUUAAAGCUUCGCUUUGAGAUGGGCCUGCGGUGCAUUAGAUAGUUGGCGGUGUAAUGGACCACCAAGUCGACGAUGCAUAGCUGAACUGAGAGGUUGAUCGGCCACACUGGGACUGAUACACGGCCCAGACUCCUACGGGAGACAGCAGUUAGGAAUAUUCGUCAAUGGGGGAAACCCUGAACGAGCAAUGCCGCGUGAACGAUGACGGUCCUCUGGAUUGUAAAGUUCUGUUGUUUGGAAAUAAUGAUAGCUUUAGGAAAUGAUUGCUAUUUGAAGGUACCAUUCAAGAAAGCUCCGGCUAACUACGUGCCAGCAGCCGCGGUAAUACGUAGGGAGCGAGCGUUAUCCGGAUUUAUUGGGCGUAAAGCGUCCGCAGCCGGUUUAUUAAGUAAGAAAUUAAAGCCCGGAGCUUAACUCCGGUUCGUUUCUUAAACUGAUAGGCUAGAGUGUGGUAGAGGCAAGUGGAAUUUCUAGUGUAGCGGCAGAAUGCGUAGAUAUUAGAAGGAACACCGGUGGCGAAGGCGACUUGCUGGGCCAUCACUGACGGUCAGGGACGAAAGCGUGGGGAGCAAAUAGGAUUAGAUACCCUAGUAGUCCACGCUGUAAACGAUGAGUACUAAGUGUCGGGCAACCGGUGCUGAAGUUAACACAUUAAGUACUCCGCCUGAGUAGUACGGUCGCAAGGCUGAAAC